AUCGAACGCUGGCGGCAGGCCUAACACAUGCAAGUCGAGCGGAUGAAGGGAGCUUGCUCCUGGAUUCAGCGGCGGACGGGUGAGUAAUGCCUAGGAAUCUGCCUGGUAGUGGGGGAUAACGUCCGGAAACGGGCGCUAAUACCGCAUACGUCCUGAGGGAGAAAGUGGGGGAUCUUCGGACCUCACGCUAUCAGAUGAGCCUAGGUCGGAUUAGCUAGUUGGUGGGGUAAAGGCCUACCAAGGCGACGAUCCGUAACUGGUCUGAGAGGAUGAUCAGUCACACUGGAACUGAGACACGGUCCAGACUCCUACGGGAGGCAGCAGUGGGGAAUAUUGGACAAUGGGCGAAAGCCUGAUCCAGCCAUGCCGCGUGUGUGAAGAAGGUCUUCGGAUUGUAAAGCACUUUAAGUUGGGAGGAAGGGCAGUAGGUUGAUACCUUGCUGUUUUGACGUUACCAACAGAAUAAGCACCGGCUAACUUCGUG
rnacentral:rRNA from 1 species